GCACGCGUGAACCACCUGAUCCCUUGCCGAACUCAGAAGUGAAACCGCUUAGCGCCGAUG
rnacentral:rRNA from 1 species